GACGAACGCUGGCGGCGUGCCUAAUACAUGCAAGUCGAACGCUUCUUUUUCCACCGGAGCUUGCUCCACCGGAAAAAGAAGAGUGGCGAACGGGUGAGUAACACGUGGGUAACCUGCCCAUCAGAAGGGGAUAACACUUGGAAACAGGUGCUAAUACCGUAUAACAAUCAAAACCGCAUGGUUUUGAUUUGAAAGGCGCUUUCGGGUGUCGCUGAUGGAUGGACCCGCGGUGCAUUAGCUAGUUGGUGGGGUAAAAGCCUACCAAGGCGACGAUCAGUAGCCGACCUGAGAGGGUGAUCGGCCACAUUGGAACUGAGACACGGUCCAA
rnacentral:rRNA from 1 species